rnacentral:rRNA from 1 species
UACAGAGGGUGCAAACGUUGUUCGGAAUUACUGGGCGUAAAGCGUGUGUAGGCGGCUACGCAAGUCGGAUGUGAAAGCCCCGGGCUCAACCCGGGAAGUGCACCCGAAACUGCGUGGCUCGAGUACCGGAGAGGUUGGUGGAAUUCUCGGUGUAGAGGUGAAAUUCGUAGAUAUCGAGAGGAACACCGGUGGCGAAGGCGGCCAACUGGACGAGUACUGACGCUGAGGCACGAAAGCGUGGGGAGCAAACAGG